AAACCAGCACCUCAAGUGGUCAGGAUGAUUAUUGGGCCUAAAGCAUCCGUAGCCGGCUCUGUAAGUUUUCGGUUAAAUCUGUACGCUUAACGUACAGGCUGCCGGGAAUACUGCAGAGCUAGGGAGUGGGAGAGGUAGACGGUACUCGGGAGGAAGUGGUAAAAUGCUUUGAUCUCUCGAUGACCACCUGUGGCGAAGGCGGUCCACCAGAACACGUCCGACGGUGAGGGAUGAAAGCUGGGGGAGCAAACCGGAUUAGAAACCCGUGUAGUCC
rnacentral:rRNA from 1 species